rnacentral:rRNA from 1 species
GAUCCGUAACUUCGGGAUAAGGAUUGGUCCUGAAGGCUGAGAUAGAAGGGAUUGAUUGGGCUCAUGUACUCGUUCUGGGUAAAAAGAGGACUACGGAUCUUUUUCCGCGGAUAGUAGUAACGUAACCAACUGUGGAACUUAAUUUCGAAAGGUGUAUUCUUCUUAAAUUAUUAACACAUUCAGUUAACAAUCAAUUCAGAACUGGCAC